UUGGUUGACCGUUAUAGAAUAUCCGUUUCACAUAUGAUAUCGGAUAUGUUCCAAUUGUCGUAACUACAAUCCCGUCCCCCUUUCCCCGAAUGUGACCUACCGAAUGAGACUUAUUACCGGGUUUGUACUAACGCGAGCAACAAGACGGGUGCCACAUGUGGAGCAGGAUCUGCUUACCCUUCCGGAUCACCUGAGAUCACCCCCAGUUUUUGGUGGGGUUCGUGUUGCUUAGUCUUUAGUUUUCUAUGUUGAGUUUUGUGUACUGUUGUUUGUCUGUUGGUCUUUUUGUUUUUUAGCCACGGCGUUGUCAGUUUAUUUUUGACUUCUGAGUUUGAAUGUCCCUUUGGUAUCUUUCGCCUCUCUUUUACAUCAGCUGAUCCAUCAUAGUACAGGUACAAACAGACAUAUAAGACAUCAGCUGAUCCAUCAUAGUACAGGUACAAACAGACAUAUAAGACAUCAGCUGAACCAUCAUAGUACAGGUACAAACAGACAUAUAAGACAUCAGCUGAUCCAUCAUAGUACAGGUACAAACAGACAUAUAAGACAUCAGCUGAUCCAUCAUAGUACAGGUACAAACAGACAUAUAAGACAUCAGCUGAACCAUCAUAGUACAGGUACAAACAGACAUAUAAGACAUCAGCUGAUCCAUCAUAGUACAGGUACAAACAGACAUAUAAGACAUCAGCUGAUCCAUCAUAGUACAGGUACAAACAGACAUAUAAGACAUCAGCUGAUCCAUCAUAUUAUAGGUACAAACAGACAUUUGUGACUUCAACUGAAACAUCCUAGUCCAGCUACAAACAGACAUAAUUAUGUGGCACCAAUAUGAAAGAAAUGCAGAUCCUGUGUCUACGCUACACUUAUAAGAAUCUGAAUAGCAUGAACUCCAAACCAUCGGAAUCAAUUGGACAUAAAAAUAAGCUUAUAAGUUUAAACUCAGGUAAUUGUCUUAAAAACCAUCUAAAUUUUAUUUUCACAGGAAUUAGCUAUACAUGUCAAGUUCCUUUUCCAAUUUCUAUGUUCGUAUGUCCGUCAAGGUUAGUUUUAUACGCGCAUCUGGCGUAUAAAAUUUUAAUCCUUGUAUCUAUGAUGAGUUUAUUUAUAUGAAUGGCUAGUUGUCUUGUACAAUUUAAUUUCCCUUUAUAAUGAGCUUAAACUUUUCAUUCACUAUGUAUCCUAGAUUUAUAAUAUAGUAUUUACAUUAAAUACUUUGUUUUAUAAGAACCUUUUUAUUAUUUCAUUUUCUUGUUAAUUGUGA